AGAGUUUGAUUAUGGCUCAGGAUGAACGCUGGCGGCAUGCCUAACACAUGCAAGUCGAACGGGGUUUAUAUGACAGAACUCUCCGGAGGGAAGAUAUAUAAACCUAGUGGCGGACGGGUGAGUAACGCGUGGGCAACCUGCCCUGUACCGGGGGACAACAGCCAGAAAUGGCUGCUAAUACCGCAUAAGCCUGCUGUGCCGCAUGGCACAGCAGGGAAAACCACGGUGGUACAGGAUGGGCCCGCGUCUGAUUAGUUAGUUGGCAGGGUAACGGCCUACCAAGACAACGAUCAGUAGCCGGCUUGAGAGAGUGGACGGCCACAUUGGGACUGAGACACGGCCCAGACUCCUGCGGGAGGCAGCAGUGGGGAAUAUUGCACAAUGGGGGGAACCCUGAUGCAGCAAUGCCGCGUGGGUGAAGAAGCACUCCGGUGCGUAAAGCCCUGUCAGCAGGGAAGAAAAUGACAGUACCUGGACAAGAAGCCCCGGCUAACUACGUGCCAGCAGCCGCGGUAAUACGUAGGGGGCAAGCGUUAUCCGGAUUUACUGGGUGUAAAGGGAGCGCAGGCGGCGUGGCAAGUCAGAUGUGAAAACCCGGGGCCCAACCCCGGGAGUGCAUUUGAAACUGCCAUGCUGGAGUGCCGGAGAGGUAAGCGGAAUUC
rnacentral:rRNA from 1 species